AGAGACCCGCUAGCGCACAAGUAGAGUGAUCGAAAGAUGAAAAGCACUUUGGAAAGAGAGUUAAAAAGCACGUGAAAUUGUUGAAAGGGAAGCGCUUGCGACCAGACCUGCCCGUGGGUGAUCAGCCGCCGUUCUCGGCGGUGCACUCGCCCGCGAUCAGGCCAGCAUCGGUUCGAGCGGCCGGACAAAGGCCGCGGGAAUGUAGCUUCCUCCGGGGAGUCUUAUAGCCCGCGGCGCAAUGCGGCCAGCCCGGAUCGAGGACCGCGCUUCGGCUAGGAUGCUGGCGUAAUGGUUGCAAGCGACCCGUCUUGAAACACGGACCAAGGAGUCUAACAUCUAUGCGAGUGUUUGGGUGUCAAACCCAUGCGCGUAAUGAAAGUAAACGGAGGUGAGAACCCGUCAGGGCGCAUCAUCGACCGAUCCUGAUGUCUUCGGAUGGAUUUGAGUACGAGCAUAGCUGUUGGGACCCGAAAGAUGGUGAACUAUGCCUGAAUAGGGUGAAGCCAGA
rnacentral:rRNA from 1 species